UACGUAGGUGGCGAGCGUUGUUCGGAUUUAUUGGGCGUAAAGGGUCUGUAGGAGGUUCGUUAAAUUCGAGGUGAAAUCCCGGAGCUCAACUCCGGAACUGCCUUGGAGACUGAUGGACUAGAGUACUGGAGAGGUAAGCGGAAUACCAGGUGUAGCGGUGGAAUGCGUAGAUAUCUGGUAGAACACCGAAAGCGAAGGCAGCUUGCUGGACAGUAACUGACUCUGAAAGACGAAAGCGUGGGGAGCAAAC
rnacentral:rRNA from 1 species